ensembl:lncRNA
CUCGAGACAACAAGUUGGUUGAUGCACACUGGAUUUGAGCCAGCUUAAAACAAAACAAAACAACAACAACAAAGGACUGAAAUAUAGGACCAAUCCCGCGAGAUAUAAAAAGACUCUAGCAUCCGACUUAACAAGAGUCACACACUUUCCCACAAAACACUUAUCAGAUCAAGGGAAUUUUGUCUAAACUUUCAAGCCUCAAGCUGAAAUAACUCUGAUAAUAUUGCUACAAUAUCAUCAGACGUCACUCCUGCACUUCUGAAGUCAAUUAAUGGACUGCAAUAACAUGAGGUACCACAAAAACAGGAGCCCUUUUGAUCAUCAAUGACAAAGUGACAAGUAUUGCUUGUAUAUUUUAUUUUAUGUACAGUACAUGUAAAAAAAAAAAAAAAAAAAAAGUAGCUAAUAUUAUUGACCAACGUGGGCAACAGUAGACAGCCAUGUUGCUCAUAUGUGGGGAAAAAUCCUGUCGACCACUUCCCCUCUCAGGCAUACGUACGUAUAGACUCUUAAACUGUAAGGCUGCCUGGGACCUAGCUGCGCUUGACUACAAACCGUCAAACUGCAGAUUAUCAAAAAAAAAGAAAGAAAGAAGAGUGCAUUAAACUGCUCCCCUUUAAAAAUACGCUUCGCUGACAGCAAGCCUCGAUGGGAACGAACAGUUUCCAGGCGGACAGAAAGCAGACGGACCGGUCUGCUGAGUGUGACUGCGCGCAACUUUAAGUUACGUUUUUAAACACCGACAGGGCUGCCUCGCCUUUCCCUCCCUUCCCCUCUAAAUCCAACUGUGCUGCUUUCAACACAAAAGGUCACUAAAGGUCAGCGGCGCAGUCUGUCUGCUUUUGCCUGAUGUCUCAAUAUAACUGCUCCAACUAGUAGCAAGCAGGUUUUUUUCCUUUUAUCUUCAGCACACUCAGCAGUUGAAUUCACAGUAUUCUUACAGCAUGUUAUUUUUUCUUCUUCUCCCAAAGUCACUCAUAAAGCUUUAACUGAUAAUGCAUAGGGGACUUCUGACGCGCUUGUUCGUCCAUGUUUAUCCAGUGGAUAAUGUUAAAACAUGGAGAAUUUUUUUUGUAGUGAGAGAGAAACGCACCCAAGUCAAAAUGCGAGAAUACAGUGUACACAACCAUCUGUGUCUGGUGUCCCCGAAAUUGUACGACU